CCCUAGCCCUGAUAGCAGUGAAAAUCCUUUUAUUUUUUCUUUAAAAAAUAAAAGAUUGUAACGGAUAGCAGGAAAUAGC
rnacentral:sRNA from 1 species